rnacentral:lncRNA from 1 species
CUCGGUCCUCUGCAAACCGAGCACAAGCCCUCAAGUCCAUUGCUGGCCCACCUCAGCAGCCACAGCGGGGACCAGAGUCAGCACCUGGACAGCCCAGCACAGGCAGCGUGGGUAGAGUGGCCUUUCCUCCUGGGACAACGCUGUGGGAGUGUGCCCCAYACCUCCGGAGAGCUGCUCUAGUUGGGGGUCUCUAAGUUGCCCAGCUGGACUUGAACUUGCCAUCCUCCUGCUUCAGACUGGGCUAAGCAGUAGCUGGGAAAGGAGGCGUGAACCUGCAGAAGGCUGGGGACAGUGCGGAAGGAGCUGGUCACGGAGCACCUAAGUUCCUGUGGUUGUGGGGCAGGAGCAGCUGGGGUAGUGUCACCCCUGCCUGCCAGGGAGGAAGCCAAAGCUCUUCGGGGUCAGGGAGCAGUGGAACUGGGACCGACUCGCACCCCAGCCACGGACAGCUGGAGACCAUGCCCCUGUGGCUUGAUUAGGGAGCAUGUCAACACAGGUGGCACUCCUGAGGAGAAGGAGCACUUGUCCUGCAGCAGAGCCUGGCACUCUGUGCUGAUGUGGUCUCAGAGGACAUGCGUCUGCCUGCCACUCAUUCACCUGCUCCUGGGCCUGUUGUACCUUAUUCCCCUCCCCAGGCUCUCUGGGCCCCAUUUGGCCUCAUCCCAGGCACCCUGCACACAGCACUCACAGGAAGCCAGCAGAGCUCCUCCCUUCCUUCCCGUGGCGGUGCAGACCUCAAUGACUUGGCAGACACUGUGGCCUCUGCAGGUGAGACAGAGAAACUUGGUGGCGUCUCCCUGCGGGUGGGCGGUCAGCAGAGAGAUGUUGUUGAGGUCAGGCCCUGCUGAGACAGGGCUUACCUCUGGGCUGCCUGGGCACGAGGGGUCAUGCCCCAUGACGACUCCUCUGUCAGUGGCAUGCAGGCCUGGGCCUGCAAGAACAGCAACCUCAGUUCCCACGGGACAGCAGGUGGCUGCCCAAGGGUGGCAGGCUGGGCCAGCAACCAGGGGUGAGCACAACCAGCCCUGCUCUGAGGGCUUUCGACCUCACUUGGUUCCAGGGUGCUGUGUCUCUGGCCUCUUCCUGGAAGGCAAUGGGGAGCACAGGCUGGCUGAAGUUCUGCUGAUGCCCAGAACCCAGAGAGGGCCUCCCAGGCACAGAAACUGCACAGCAGAUGGCAGAGGAGGUGGAACUCUGGUGUCUUCCACAAAAGCACCUGGAGGCCACUCUGCUCUUAAAGGUGUGCACGCUGGCCCAGCAACCAGACAGCAAUAA